UUGACCUCGGAUCAGGUAGGGAUACCCGCUGAACUUAAGCAUAUCAAUAAGCGGAGGAAAAGAAACCAACAGGGAUUGCCUCAGUAACGGCGAGUGAAGCGGCAACAGCUCAAAUUUGAAAUCUGACCCCCUGCGGGGCCCGAGUUGUAAUUUGCAGAGGGUGCUUCGGGCGCGGCGCCGGUCUAAGUGCCUUGGAACAGGACGUCAUAGAGGGUGAGAAUCCCGUCUGUGACC
rnacentral:rRNA from 1 species